rnacentral:rRNA from 1 species
CUUGAACGCUGGCGACAGGCCUAACACAUGCAAGUCGAGCGGAGCGGCGGACGGGUGAGUAAUGCUUAGGAAUCUGCCUGGUAGUGGGGGAUAACGUUCGGAAACGGGCGCUAAUACUGCAUCCUCUCAGAUGAGCCUAGGUCGGAUUAGCUAGUUGGUGGGGUAAAGGCCUACCAAGGCGACGAUCCGUAACUGGUCUGAGUGGAUGAUCCGUCACACUGGAAAGGAGACACGGUCCAGACGCCUACGGGAGGCAGCAGUGGGGAAUAUUGAACAAUGGGCGAAAGCCUGAUCCAGCCAUGCCGCGUGGGUGAAGAAGGGCUUCGGAGUGUAAAGCACGUUAAGUUGGGAGGCGUUACCAACAGAAUAAGCACCGGCUAACUUCGUGCCAGCAGCCGCGGUAAUAC